rnacentral:ncRNA from 2 species
GCCCAUACGGGAGAUGGCAUCCUCCCCGAACCGCCGUCCCGGCUGAUGAUGCCUGCCAACCC